rnacentral:rRNA from 1 species
AUGAACGCUGGCGGCGUGCCUCAUACAUGCAAGUCGAGCGAACAGAUGAGGAGCUUGCUCCUCUGACGUUAGCGGCGGACGGGUGAGUAACACGUGGAUAACCUACCUAUAAGACUGGGAUAACUUCGGGAAACCGGAGCUAAUACCGGAUAAUAUAUUGAACCGCAUGGUUCAAUAGUGAAAGACGGUUUUGCUGUCACUUAUAGAUGGAUCCGCGCCGCAUUAGCUAGUUGGUAAGGUAACGGCUUACCAAGGCAACGAUGCGUAGCCGACCUGAGAGGGUGAUCGGCCACACUGGAACUGAGACACGGUCCAGACUCCUACGGGAGGCAGCAGUAGGGAAUCUUCCGCAAUGGGCGAAAGCCUGACGGAGCAACGCCGCGUGAGUGAUGAAGGUCUUCGGAUCGUAAAACUCUGUUAUUAGGGAAGAACAAAUGUGUAAGUAACUAUGCACGUCUUGACGGUACCUAAUCAGAAAGCCACGGCUAGCUACGUG